GUGAACGUUACCAAACUGUUGCCUCGGCGGGAUCUCUGCCCCGGGUGCGUCGCAGCCCCGGACCAAGGCGCCCGCCGGAGGACCAACCAAAACUCUUAUUGUAUACCCCCUCGCGGGUUUUUUUAUAAUCUGAGCCUUCUCGGCGCCUCUCGUAGGCGUUUCGAAAAUGAAUCAAAACUUUCAACAACGGAUCUCUUGGUUCUGGCAUCGAUGAAGAACGCAGCGAAAUGCGAUAAGUAAUGUGAAUUGCAGAAUUCAGUGAAUCAUCGAAUCUUUGAACGCACAUUGCGCCCGCCAGUAUUCUGGCGGGCAUGCCUGUCCGAGCGUCAUUUCAACCCUCGAACCCCUCCGGGGGGUCGGCGUUGGGGAUCGGCCCUGCCUUGGCGGUGGCCGUCUCCGAAAUACAGUGGCGGUCUCGCCGCAGCCUCUCCUGCGCAGUAGUUUGCACACUCGCAUCGGGAGCGCGGCGCGUCCACAGCCGUUAAACACCCAACUUCUGAAAUGUUGACCUCGGAUCAGGUAGGAAUACCCGCUGAACUUAAGCAUAUCAAUAAGCGGAGGAAAAGAAACCAACAGGGAUUGCCCCAGUAACGGCGAGUGAAGCGGCAACAGCUCAAAUUUGAAAUCUGGUCCCUAGGGCCCGAGUUGUAAUUUGUAGAGGAUGCUUUUGGUGAGGUGCCGCCCGAGUUCCCUGGAACGGGACGCCACAGAGGGUGAGAGCCCCGUCUGGCUGGCCGCCGAGCCUCUGUAAAGCUCCUUCGACGAGUCGAGUAGUUUGGGAAUGCUGCUCAAAAUGGGAGGUAUAUGUCUUCUAAAGCUAAAUAUUGGCCAGAGACCGAUAGCGCACAAGUAGAGUGAUCGAAAGAUGAAAAGCACCUUGAAAAGAGGGUUAAAUAGUACGUGAAAUUGUUGAAAGGGAAGCGCUUGUGACCAGACUUGGGCGCGGCGGAUCAUCCGGGGUUCUCUCCGGUGCACUUCGCCGCGUCUAGGCCAGCAUCAGUUCGUCGCGGGGGGAAAAAGGCUUCGGGAACGUGGCUCCUUCCGGGAGUGUUAUAGCCCGUUGCUAAAUACCCUGGCGGUGGACUGAGGACCGCCAUCUG
rnacentral:sRNA from 1 species